rnacentral:rRNA from 1 species
AGUGAACGCUGGCGGUAGGCCUAACACAUGCAAGUCGAACGGCAGCACAGUAAGAGCUUGCUCUUACGGGUGGCGAGUGGCGGACGGGUGAGGAAUACAUCGGAAUCUACUUUUUCGUGGGGGAUAACGUAGGGAAACUUACGCUAAUACCGCAUACUACCUACGGGUGAAAGCAGGGGAUCUUCGGACCUUGCGCGAUUGAAUGAGCCGAUGCCGGAUUAGCUAGUUGGCGGGGUAAAGGCCCACCAAGGCGACGAUCCGUAGCUGGUCUGAGAGGAUGAUCAGCCACACUGGAACUGAGACACGGUCCAGACUCCUACGGGAGGCAGCAGUGGGGAAUAUUGGACAAUGGGCGCAAGCCUGAUCCAGCCAUACCGCGUGGGUGAAGAAGGCCUUCGGGUCGUAAAGCUCUUUUGUUGGGAAAGAAAAGCAGCAGGUUAAUACCCCGCUGUUCUGACGGUACCCAAAGAAUAAGCACCGGCUAACUUCGUG